GAUGGACGCUGGCUACAGGCUUAACACAUGCAAGUCGAGGGGAAACGCCGGGGAAGCUUGCUUCCCCGGGCGUCGACCGGCGCACGGGUGAGUAACGCGUAUCCAACCUGCCUCUGACUGAGGGAUAACCCGUCGAAAGUCGGCCUAAUACCUCAUGGCAUCGUCUGCGGGCAUCCAACGACGAUUAAAGAUUUCAUCGGUCAGGGAUGGGGAUGCGUCUGAUUAGCUAGUUGGCGGGGUAACGGCCCACCAAGGCGACGAUCAGUAGGGGUUCUGAGAGGAAGGUCCCCCACAUUGGAACUGAGACACGGUCCAAACUCCUACGGGAGGAAGCAGUGAGGAAUAUUGGUCAAUGGGCGAGAGCCUGAACCAGCCAAGUAGCGUGCAGGAUGACGGCCCUAUGGGUUGUAAACUGCUUUUAUGCGGGGAUAAAGUGAGGGACGUGUCCUUCAUUGCAGGUACCGCAUGAAUAAGGACCGGCUAAUUCCGUG
rnacentral:rRNA from 1 species